GCGUGCCUAUACAUGCAAGUCGAGCGGACCGACGGGAGCUUGCUCCCUUAGGUCAGCGGCGGACGCGUGAGUAACACGUGGGUAACCUGCCUGUAAGACUGGGAUAACUCCGGGAAACCGGGGCUAAUACCGGAUGCUUGAUUGAACCGCAUGGUUCAAUCAUAAAAGGCGGCUUCGGCUGCCGUUUACAGAUGGACCCGCGGCGCAUUAGCUAGUUGGUGAGGUAACGGCUCACCAAGGCGACGAUGCGUAGCCGACCUGAGAGGGUGAUCGGCCACACUGGGACUGAGACACGGCCCAGACUCCUACGGGAGGCAGCAGUAGGGAAUCUUCCGCAAUGGACGAAAGUCUGACGGAGCAACGCCGCGUGAGUGAUGAAGGUUUUCGGAUCGUAAAGCUCUGUUGUUAGGGAAGAACAAGUACCGUUCGAAUAGGGCGGUACCUUGACGGUACCUAACCAGAAAGCCACGGCUAACUACGUGCCAGCAGCCGCGGUAAUACGUAGGUGGCAAGCGUUGUCCGGAAUUAUUGGGCGUAAAGCGCGCGCAGGCGGUUUCUUAAGUCUGAUGUGAAAGCCCCCGGCUCAACCGGGGAGGGUCAUUGGAAACUGGGGAACUUGAGUGCAGAAGAGGAGAGU
rnacentral:rRNA from 1 species